GGCGCCCCGUUAAUGAAUCCUGCCGAGCCUGAGAGCCAGGUAGCUGUCUGCUAGCGGACAAAGGUCGCGAGCCUGAGGCUGGCUGGUUCAGGAUAUCAUUUAUGGAUUUUCCACGGACCGCCUCUCUUGGAGACCACCAACCGCGGGAGAAUGGGGUGAAGGCUAGGAAAAAUCAGGAAUCGGCAAGGAAAUGACAGACAGACACAAUAAGGUAUCUUUGAGUGUCUAUGGGGAUCCAAUGGGAGACCCCAUAGCAACGACUGGGAUCUUCCUUCUGAUCCUAGAAGAUGUUGUUAAUUCUACGGAUUUCAACAGAAUUGGAGAACAUGAACAGAACAGAGUUACCAGCAAGAGAGCCCAGGGAGAGCAUUAACAUGUUUGCCACCCAAGACCCCCCCCUCAGCCAGGGAGAUAUGCAAGGCCUACGAGCUGAAUGGAAAGGA